ACCUUUAUGUGCGUUGUCUGGACAUAUAAAAAAUUGCGGUUUCAAAAUAUCAUCUUCACUAAGUUAAUGAGUGAUGCCCUCAAAAACUCAAAGUCACGGUCAAUCACAGGAGAUGAUACUAACUUGACAAGGAGUUCCCGAGAUACAACUAACAUUUUUACAUACAAAGAACCGGAAGUCGCAG